AGGAAGGGCUGCAUCGGCUUCUGGAGGUCACAGUUAGCAUGCUAAGAUUCAGGACUGGCAAAUUACUGAGGCCAGAUGUUCUGGCUAUACAGGGGCAUCUGCUUAAAGGGUGCUGCCCUCCCUUGAACCUGUCUAUGUGGGCCUCACGCUCUGGGAAGGGGACUCCUGUUUUAACCUCAGCUAUACUGCCACCCGAGGGCCGAGGGGGCAGGCAGCCCCAGCCUGGUUCACCAGGUGCCUCUUCCUUGGCCACAGGCCUCUGCCAGGACCAGUCCUUCCGGAGGAGAGUGCCGGCUGGCUGGACCAUUCCCUUCCCACCUCCCAUCUUGCUGACUUCAAAACAGUGUCUCAGAAUCUCAAGAGUUCAAGGAGAUCCUAUGAGCAAGCAACUGUGGGGUAGAGAGCGGCCUUCCUCCAGAGCCCAGUGACCUCAGGCCCAGACAGAUGGCCUCAGCCCAGCCGCACCUGUGAACACCACAGAUGUAAGGAAGUGUCCAGCAGGGGCACAGUGGGCCCAUCUGACCUUCAAGGCCUGCCUGGGGAAAUCCAUUCUUUUAAUAAAAUUAACAAAU
rnacentral:lncRNA from 1 species